GGAUUGUGGAUCAAGGGUAGAGCGCUUGCCUAGCACGUGCAAGGCCCUGGGUUCGAUCUUCAGCACCA
rnacentral:tRNA from 1 species